rnacentral:rRNA from 1 species
AUUGAACGCUGGCGGCAUGCCUUACACAUGCAAGUCGAACGGCAGCACGGGUGCUUGCACCUGGUGGCGAGUGGCGAACGGGUGAGUAAUACAUCGGAACAUGUCCUGUAGUGGGGGAUAGCCCGGCGAAAGCCGGAUUAAUACCGCAUACGAUCCACGGCUGAAAGCGGGGGACCUUCGGGCCUCGCGCUAUAGGGUUGGCCGAUGGCUGAUUAGCUAGUUGGUGGGGUAAAGGCCUACCAAGGCGACGAUCAGUAGCUGGUCUGAGAGGACGACCAGCCACACUGGGACUGAGACACGGCCCAGACUCCUACGGGAGGCAGCAGUGGGGAAUUUUGGACAAUGGGCGAAAGCCUGAUCCAGCAAUGCCGCGUGUGUGAAGAAGGCCUUCGGGUUGUAAAGCACUUUUGUCCGGAAAGAAAUCCUUGACUCUAAUACAGUCGGGGGAUGACGGUACCGGAAGAAUAAGCACCGGCUAACUACGUG